UGUUAAUGGAUGACUCAGCUUUUU
rnacentral:piRNA from 1 species